rnacentral:rRNA from 1 species
AGUCAUAUGCUUGUCUCAAAGAUUAAGCCAUGCAUGUGUAAGUACAUACCGAUUUAAGGUGAAACCGCGAAUGGCUCAUUAAAUCAGCUGUGGUUCAUUGGAUCUUAACCCCACUUACUUGGAUAACUGUGGUAAUUCUAGAGCUAAUACAUGCGUCCAGUCUCUGACCGCAAGGGAAGAGCGCUCUUAUUAGUCCAAAACUGGUCGGGCCUCGGUCCGUUCUGUCCUGGUGGUGAAUCUGAAUAAUUUUGACCUGAGCGCACGGUCUCCGCGCCGGCGCCGUAUCUUUCAAGUGUCUGCCUUAUCAGCUCUCGACUGUAGGUCAUGUGCCUACAUUGGCUAUAACGGGUAACGGGGAAUCAGGGUUCGAUUCCGGAGAGGGAGCCUGAGAAACGGCUACCACAUCUAAGGAAGGCAGCAGGCACGCAAAUUACCCACUCCCGGCACGGGGAGGUAGUGACGAAAAAUAACGGUGCGAGACUCAUCCGAGGCCUCGCAAUCGGAAUGAGUACACUUUAAAUCCUUUAACGAGGAUCGAUUGGAGGGCAAGUCUGGUGCCAGCAGCCGCGGUAAUUCCAGCUCCAAUAGCGUAUAUUAAAGUUGUUGCGGUUAAAAAGCUCGUAGUUGACCCUCAGUUCCGGACUGGCGGUGCACCGCCCGGUGUCUGUCCGUCACGCUCCGAACAGCAGGCGUGCUUGUCCUGCCCGGCCGGCUCGCACGGGGUGCUCUUCACCGAGUGUCCCGCGUGGCUGGCAAGUUUACUUUGAAAAAAUUAGAGUGCUCAAAGCAGGCUACGUGAAUGGCCUGAAUGGUGAUGCAUGGAAUAAUGGAAUAGGACCUCGGGUCUAUUUUAUUGGUUUUCGGAUCCAGAGGUAAUGACGAAUAGAAACAGGCGGGGGCAUUCGUACUGCGACGCUAGAGGUGAAAUUCUUGGACCGUCGCAAGACGAACUACUGCGAAAGCAUUUGCCAAGGAUGUUUUCAUUAAUCAAGAACGAAAGUUAGAGGUUCGAAGGCGAUCAGAUACCGCCCUAGUUCUAACCAUAAACGGUGCUGACUAGCGAUCCGCCGGCGUUAUUCCCAUGACCCGGCGGGCGGCUUCCGGGAAACCAAAGUCUUUGAGUUCCGGGGGAAGUAUGGUUGCAAAGCUGAAACUUAAAGGAAUUGACGGAAGGGCACCACCAGGAGUGGAGCCUGCGGCUUAAUUUGACUCAACACGGGGAACCUCACCAGGCCCGGACACCGGAAGGAUUGACAGAUUGAGAGCUCUUUCUCGAUUCGGUGGGUGGUGGUGCAUGGCCGUUCUUAGUUGGUGGAGCGAUUUGUCUGGUUAAUUCCGAUAACGAACGAGACUCUGGCCUAUUAACUAGUCGACGGAUCUCCAUUCGUUGGUGUCCAGUUCGCAACUUCUUCUUAGAGGGACUAGCGGCAUUCUAGCCGCACGAGAUUGAGCAAUAACAGGUCUGUGAUGCCCUUAGAUGUUCUGGGCCGCACGCGCGCUACACUGAAGGGAUCAACGUGUCUUCCCCCUCCGAGAGGAGAGGGUAACCCGUUCAAACCCCUUCAUGAUAGGGAUUGGGGCUUGCAAUUGUUUCCCAUGAACGAGGAAUUCCCAGUAAGCGCAAGUCAUCAGCUUGCGUUGAUUACGUCCCUGCCCUUUGUACACACCGCCCGUCGCUACUACCGAUUGAAUGAUUUAGUGAGGCCUUCGGACUGGCGCUCUUGGAUGCUGGACCCUACCUCCCACUCGGAGGAGGGCCCUCGCCUCGAGCUGACGGAAAGAUGUCCAAACUUGAUCAUUUAGAGGAAGUAAAAGUCGUAACAAGGUUUCCGU